GCUUUCCAUGCCACACUCAAGCAGUAGAGCGAACUGUUAAGUUUGUUACUGAAGCGUCGAAGAAGUUUGCCUAAAUUUGAGAACAAGUCCCAGUAUACAA